rnacentral:rRNA from 1 species
UCAGGACGAACGCUGGCGGCGUGCUUCAUACAUGCAAGUCGAACGAGAAGCUCACUUCGGUGAGUGGAAAGUGGCGGACGGGUGAGUAAUGUGUAGAGAAUCUGCCCUAGAGUGGGGGAUAGCAGUUGGAAACGACUAUUAAUACCCCAUAUGCGCGUAGCUGAGAUGCUAUUCGUGAAAACUCCGGUGCUCUGGGAUGAGUCUGCAUCUGAUUAGCUAGUAGGCGGUGUAAUGGACCACCUAGGCGACGAUCAGUAGCUGGUUUGAGAGGAUGAUCAGCCACAAUGGGACUGAGACACGGCCCAUACUCCUACGGGAGGCAGCAGUAGGGAAUUUUGCGCAAUGGGGGCAACCCUGACGCAAGCAACGCCGCGUGAUUGAAGAAGCCCUUCGGGGUGUAAAGAUCUGUCAGUGGGGACGAAACUUGACGGUACCCACAGAGGAAGCAUCGGCUAACUCCGUGCCAGCCGCUGC